CUGAGACCGGGCUGCCCGGGAGGAGAGAGCCACGAGGGUGGGGCCAGACCAGGAAAUCAGGCCCCCAACCACAGCCAGCAUAAGGUAAGAUACUGUGGUGGCUUUAUUAUUUGAUGUUUGCAUUGUGUGUAGUGUGUAUCUCUGUGUGUAUAUCUGUAUGGAGAUCUGUGUGCGUAUCUGUGUGUAUAUGUGUAUGUAGUGUGUGUAUCUGUGAGUGUAUGUAGUGUGUGCAUCUAUGUUUUGUGUGUAUCAGUAUGUGUGUAGUGUGUGUAUCUGUGUGUAGUGUGUGUAUCUGUAUGCAUCUGUAUGUCUGUGUAACUGCAUGUGUGGCAGUGUAUCUGUAUGUAGAUCUCUGUGUGUGUAGUGUGUGUAUCUGUGUGUAGCAUGCGUAUCUGUGUGUAGUGUGUGUAUCUGUAUAUGUAUAGUGUGUAUCUGUAUGUGUGCAAAUCUCUGUGUGUGUAGUGUGUAUUUGUGAGUGUCAUGUGUGUGUGUAUCUGUGUGUCUGUAACUGAAUGUGUGGCAGUGGGUGUAUCUGCAUGUAUCCGUGUGUGUAUUUGCAUAUAUCAGUGUUUGAUAUACAUACUGACACACAUGCAGAUGCACAGUGUUAUGUUUCCUAUGGAGUGGAACUCAACUGCAGAAAUAUAGUUAGGAGAACCCUCAGGGUUUUUAGAAUAGUAAUUAGAAUUUAGAUGGAACAAUUCCUCAUUAAGGAGUUUUACGAGAAGGAGGAUUGCAGAGUUCUUGUAAUUUAAAGGAAUACAAUACGAAGAUAAUUUGAAGAUAACAGUUCAUUAAUUUUUACUGAACACAAUAUGAAGAUAGUUUGAAGAUAACAGUUCAUGUAACCUUAAUGAAUACAGUAUGAAGGUAGAUUGAUGAGAAGAGUUCAUGUAGCUUAAGGAAUACAAUAUGAAGAUAGAUUGGUGAGAUGAGUUCUGUAACCUUAAGGAACACUACAUGUAGAUAGUUUGAUGAGAAGAGUUCCUGUAGCUUUAAUGAAACAAUAUGAAGAUAUAUUGAUGAGAAGAGUUCCUGUAGCUUUAAGGAAUACAAUAGGUAGAUGGUUUGAAGAGAAGAUCUCAUGUAGCUUUAAGGAACACGACAUGCAGAUAGUUUGAUGAGAAGAGUUCCUGAAGCUUUAAGGAAUACAAUACGUAGAGUGUUUGAUGAAAAGAGUUCCUGUAGCUUUAAGGAAUACAAUAUGUAGAGAGUUUGAUGAGAGAGUUCCUGAAGCUUUAAGGAAUACAAUACGUAGAGUGUUUGAUGAAAAGAGUUCCUGUAGCUUUAGGGAAUACAAUAUGUAGAGAGUUUGAUGAGAGAGUUCCCGUAGCUUUAAGGAAUACAAUAUGUAGAGAGUUUGAUGAGAGAGUUCCUGUAGCUUUAGGGAAUACAAUAUGUAGAGAGUUUGUCCACUAAUUGAACUAAGGAAGCACAGAAAAUAAUUAAGCAGUAAGUAUUGAAGUGCCAGUAGGAGGAUUAAUCCAAAUCUAUAACUUGCAGUUACUUGGAAGGUUUUACAAAGCAGAAAGUAUUCCAAAGGUAAUCCAAGGUCAAUAGAAGGAGGAUGGAGAUCCACAGUAUGAACAGUCCAGUUUUGGUACACGUUCAGAAGUUUAGCGAGAGAUUGUUUAUAGCCGGUCAGAAGUUCAGGAAGCUUCAAAAUAGCGUCAGAGAAGGGGGCGUGUCAUUGGUCCGUGAACCCGGAAGUGUCGGAUUAUCGGAGAAGCCGAUAGUUAAGUUCUGACACACAGAUACACAUGCAGAUAUACAGACACACAGAUACAAACAUUGCCACACAUGCAGAUAUGUAGACAAACAGAUACAAUCACUGACACACAUGCAGAUACACAGACACAGUGUAUAGGUAAUUGUAUUGGCUGCAGUGCACAUACAGACACACGCUACAUCCCCAGCACACACACAGAUACACACUACAUCCCCAACACACACUUAGACACACACUUCACCCACAGCACACACACUUAGACACACACAUAGAGACAUUACCAUGGCAGAAGCAAUAUGUUUUUUUUCUGGUGGUGGGAGGUAGAGGUGCAGCAUUUCAUCCCUGGACCCAGGCAGCACAAUGUCUUAGCCCUACAAUUGUCUAAUUCAAGAGCUUUAGCUUUGAAUAAAACAGUUGAAUAUCUCCAAAGAUUUCAAACAGUCAAAUAAAGACACUUUAAUUUUACAUUUUUAAGUGGUAGUAUGGCCAGGUACAGCGCUGUUCUGAGAAAUGUUAAGUGAUUUACUAAUAAUUUAUGCAACUCAAGUGUAAUUUAGAACAAGAAAAAUCCAUCUUAUAUACACAGAGCGAUUUCUAAACACAUUUAUUGUAGUUUACCACUUAAGGACAACAUGACUUUAAAUUUAUACAGUGCUCCACUAAUUGGUGUAUAUUGUAUACCAUAUAUUUUAACAUUGUAAACUGAUUGUGGAAAUCAGAUUAUUCCAGUUUAUGUGUUUGAGCUGCUUCUUUGUCUAGGCACUAUAGAGUAUCACUCACUAUCUCUGCAAAGAGACUGUUUUGGUUUUUUUAAUGUCUGGAGGCAGUCUUAGUCCUGCAAGGCCGGGGCUGAUCCUAUAUUUGGCAUCCCCCCCCAGCUUAAAAAUGUAAAAAAAAAAUCCACAAAUUCUUUUACAUGUAUUUAGCACUGAGUAGUGUUUGUAUUUUUUUUCUGUAUUAAACACUGAGCAGUGUUUGUGUGUUUGAAUGUAAGCAUGUUUUUUUGUUGUUGUUUUGUUUAUAUCUUUUUAUUGUUUCUCACUCAAUAUGCCAACAAAAUAAAUGUUACAGUACAAGUGUAUCAAUUACAGAGAAAUGUAAAUGAAAUGUUUUCGGUACAGGUAACAUUGUACAUUAACCAUGGUACAAUAAACAGUUUCUGUAACAUCAUGAUGAGGAGUGAGUUACUUUAAAAAUAAAAAAUAGCAUUGAAACUUAGUGGGGCUUGGUACAUUAUAGAGUAAGCAUGUUUUUGUAUGGAGUAUGUGUGAGUAAAUGUAUGGGUGUGUUUGCACGUAUUGGCAUUUGAAUGCAGGCGUGCAUUUUUCUGUAGUGUGUUUUUUUUAUAUGGUGGUAUGUUUUUAUGUAGUGUUGACAUUUGGAUGCAGGGUUGUAUUUGUGUGUAGUGUAGGCGAAAUGCUGAGAUGUAUGCACAUACACACUCAUAUAGACACACACUGGCACACAGACACAUAGGUACACACAUGCUGUUACAUAGAAACACAGUCAUACACAGAUGCAGACAAACACUGACACACAUACAGAUACACACACAGAUACAAACACACAUAUAGAUACAAACACACACACACACAUAGAGACACACAGGCACAGACACACAUACAAAUAGAGACACACACAUACAGACACACUGAUACAAACAUAGACACACAAACUGAUACACAGACACUCACUGACACAUACAGAUACACAUAUACCAACACACAUACAGAUACACAGACACACAUGUAUAAGUGUGUGUUUGUAUUGUGUAUGUAGUGUGUUUGUAUAGUGAAUGCAGUGUGUUUGUGUACUGGAUGCAGUGUGUGUGCCUGUAUAGCGGAUAAUGGUGUGAGGGAGGGGGUGAUGGUGAGAGGGAGGGGGUAAUAUUGUGAGGGAGGGGGUGAUGGUGUGAGGGAGGGGUAAUAUUGUGAGGGAGGGGGUGAUUGUGUGAGGGAGGGAGGGUGAUGGUGGAGUGAGGGGGUGAUGGUGAGAGGGAGGAGGUGAUGGUGAGAGGGAGGGAGGGGAUGGUGUGAGGGGGGGAGGUGAUGUGUGUGAGGGAGGGGGGUGAUGGUGUGAAGGAGGUGGUGAUGGUGUGAAGGAGGGGGUUAUGUGUGAGGGGGGGUGAUGGUGUGAGGAAGGGAGGAUGAUGGAGGGCGGGGGGGACUAAAUACCUUAUUUAUUCCCUGGUGGUCCAGUGUGCGCUCCCUGGUGGUCCGGUGGUGAUAUCAGGUGCCGGUCCACAGAGUUGCAGACCAUGAAUCGUGCGAGACACAGUCAGAGAGUUGCCGUGGUAACCUGCGACAACGCUCUGAUUGAUCAGAUCUCGCGACACACAAGGUCUGCAGCUCUGCACACUGCGGAGCUGCAGACCAUUGUCUGCGAUAGGUGCAGGAGGGGCAUCUCACCCAGCGGCAUAUCGAGCAAGCCGCCAGGCCCCCUCCUGGUGUCGGGUCCUCGGUCAGUGACCCAUGACUCGACACAGUCUGCCCCAGGCACCCCCCUAGUGAGUGGCACCUGGGGUGGACCACCCCCUCCGCCCCCCCCUUAGUACGCCACUGCUGCAAGGUAAUUAUUGCAAUUUCUCUAAAACUGCAAUGUUUUACAUUGAAAGACAAAGGGGGACAGGGACACUCACCCAGACCACUUCAAUGAGAUGAAGUGGUCUGGGUGACUAUAGUGUCCCUUUAAAUCCAGCCCUAGGUAAGCUGCAUACAGAGCUCAGAUUGAAAUUGGCAUGCAACACUUUUAAUGGGGAUUUCUAUGACCAUAAACAGCACUGUAGUAUGAGCAGGGUUAAAUCCAAUAGAUAAUUGGGGCACCCUUUUGUCAGCUGAGAUCCAUUUUUAGUGGGCUCAGACUGACAGGUGAGCUGCAUGCAGAGCUCAAAGUUUCAAUGGGGAUUUAAAGGGACACUAUAAGCACCCAGACUGCUUCAGCUGAUGGAAGUGGUCUGGGUGCAGUGUCCCAGUCCCCUUAACCCUGCAAUUGGAAUUAUUGCAGUUAUUGAUCAACUGCAUUACCUUGCAGGGUUAACUCCACCUCUAGUGGCUGUCUACCAGACAGCCACUAGAGGCACUUCCGGGUCCUUAGCGGACUUUUAGUCUGCUAAAUAACAGACGUCCUCACGCUUUGCUUAAAAAAAACAGCAUUACCCAAAGCCUCUCAGGAAAGCAUUAUAUGUUGGCUGACGUCUGCAGAGGAGGAGCGGAGGCGCUGGAAUCAGGUAAGUGAUAUGUUUUAACCCCUUCAGUGCCAUCAGUUUUCCUAGAACUAGUUUCCCUUUAAAUCACUCUAAACAGCAUUUCAGUGUGAGCAGGGUUAAAAUGUAAUUCUGUUUCACAAUCAUAGAGGUACCCUACCCUCCUUCCAUCGCCCCCAUCUGUCCCUUCACCAGUCUCCAAAAUUCCCUGCCCCUUUUAUUUCCCCCUCCUUAGUCAGCCUUAAACCCUGAUUCCCAUUACUCCGCUAUCCCCUUCCAUUCAUUCCUUUUUCUCAGUUAUUUAACAAAUCCCUAACCAGUGCCCCUUCAUUGUUAUCUCCACCAGUGAACCAGAACUCUUGUACCUUGUUAUCCUUUGACUUUGGCUUCCACCACUGUAAUAACAUGGUCACAAGGGGAACAAUUGUGAUUAGAUCCCUGGCCUCUUCUCUCUACCACCUUCCUUGAAUCUGACAAACAAUAGGAGGAAUAGAAGCUGAUUUUGGGGUGUUAUGUUUAAUAUGCUGGGUUAUUCACUAAAUUGAGACUUUAAGGACCUAAAAUGGCCAAACUGGACAAAUUGCCCUUUUAUUCCCACUUUAGUAAAUAAUCCUUUCGGCACGGGUUGAUGGGGCCCCCAAAUAUUUCUAUACAUGGAUCAAUAAACACCAUUGCAUUAGCCACCAAGACAGAAUUCUACCACCUAGCUAGUUGCAGGAAUACUGAAGGACAAUGUGUUUGGACCUUGUGCUGCCAGGUCCACUAUUUUUCUUGAGCCCUAUCUGAUGAGCAGGGCAUAAAUAAUGCUGCCCUGCACCUUCUAUGGAUGUACUAGCUGCAGAAAGGUAAUCAGUAAACUAAUCAGGGCAGUUCCAUGGGGACCCCACCCUACUUGAUUAAUUACCUGACUUCCUCCUGCAGCAUAUGAAUUCUCCAUACCCCAGAUCAGCAUGCAUUAGUUAGAUCUCUAUAAGAAAAAGCAUCACAUGCUGUCAAAUUUUAAUCACAGCCUCAUUUUUUAUGAGAACAAUGUUCUUUAAUUUUUCUGUACUAGAAGGUAAACUGAUAAUUUGUAGCUACCAUCACCCCUAAGCAAAGGGGUGGGGGGACCUUUUACUAAAAACCCACGUUUCAUGUGAAACGGACAAUGGCUGCAUGCCUAUAUCUCAAAGCUCCCCCCAUCCUCUAACUGAGGAGGAAAGUGGUGUGGGGGAGAACUCUGCUAGCAGGAUCACGUGACGUGACAUUCCCCUGCCAGGGCUUCAGUCUAUUAUAUCCAUGUCUGUCUGACUUCUCGUCCAAUCAGGUGGCAGUAUGACGUAGCUGAUGGGCUGGGUGGGGUAUAUAAGGCAUGGACCGGCUGCUUUCCCAUUGUUCAUUUGUGCGGCAGGAGAUUUUGUAGUGUUGGUGUGAGUAGCCACUGCCAGGUAAGCUGGGGGCUCUGUGUUAUUACUGCUGUCAUAGAGGGAGCUUUUCAUUCAUUUUGGGAUUGGCUGGUUAAUUUUAAGCUUAUUAUACUAUGGUUUUAGCAGGUAUAUGGGAUUUUAGUAUAUAUCAUUUGCCAUAGAUGGUUCAUUAGUCCUUGUCUGUAAUGGUAUGUGAAUGGAGCUAUCUUCACACAGGGUAAAGGAUGCAUUGAAACAGUGUAUCCAUCAUUAAGAUAACGUUCCAAACGACAUUCUAUCAGAUGCAGGUUUUUUUUCUUUUACCUUUUGAGUGCGAGGUGUGUGCUAAUGCUUUAUUACCCAUACUUGGUAUUCAAUGUGUUAAAACAAUCAUGAUGUGAGGUUUUUUUUAUAUUUAACUGUUUAAUGGUGUGUGGCAUUACACCGAUUCCUGUAUGCAUUGUCUGUCUGGCCAUGCUGACUGACCUCCUUCUUGCUCUGUUACAGAUUAAGUCUAAAAAUGGCAGAUAAGCCAGAUCUGGGGGAAAUCGACAAGUUUGACAAAUCCAAGCUGAGGAAAACUGAAACAAAAGAGAAAAACACACUGCCUACGAAAGAGAGUGAGGGUCUUUUUGUUUAACUUGGUGUCUCCCAACUAACCAUUAUAGGGCACUCCCUGCCUAUUUCCAUCACCCUUUAAGGGGGCGGAUUCCAUAAUGCAUGUGAAAAUAUCUGAUGCCUCACCACUAUCCUAAUUAAAACUCUUUCAUAAUAUGUUGCAUGGACAAUCGAACACUAGAACUGCUAAUAUCAGGAAUGUAUUGAUGUCUAGUUUUGACUUAAGACUUUAUUUUUAACUCUGCUAUUUUUUGAUCUCUCUAGCAAUUGAACAAGAGAAGAAAAAUUAAUUUUUGAAUUUUCUACUGAAUCCACCACACCCCAGCAAUGGCUUGAAGGGAAAAUGGUCUGACCUUUAUUGGCGAUCUAAGUGCACUGUGAAUGAAAAGGAGGACCUGUCAAGUGUUGGACCUUUUUGGAAUGCCAAAAACUAAAGGGAUUUUGUGUUAUCUUGUCUUCCCUAUUGUCUGAUUGUUGAAUGGAAUAAAAUAAAUUUUGUGCAAUAA